UACAGAGGGGGCAAGCGUUAUUCGGAAUUAUUGGGCGUAAAGGGCGCGUAGGCGGUGUCUUAAGUGAGAUGUGUAAUCCCCGAGCUUAACUUGGGAACUGCAUCUCAGACUGGGGCGCUAGAGUACUGGAGAGGGUGGUAGAAUUCCACGUGUAGCGGUGAAAUGCGUAGAGAUGUGGAGGAAUACCAGUGGCGAAGGCGGCCACCUGGACAGUAACUGACGCUGAGGCGCGAAAGUGUGGGUAGCAAACAGG
rnacentral:rRNA from 1 species